AGCGAACGCUGGCGGCAGGCUUAACACAUGCAAGUCGAGCGGGCAUCCUUGUGGUGUCAGCGGCAGACGGGUGAGUAACGCGUGGGAACGUGCCCUUCGGUUCGGAAUAACUCAGGGAAACUUGAGCUAAUACCGGAUACGCCCUUUUGGGGAAAGGUUUACUGCCGAAGGAUCGGCCCGCGUCUGAUUAGCUGGUUGGUGAGGUUACGGCUCACCAAGGCGACGAUCAGUAGCUGGUCUGAGAGGAUGAUCAGCCACACUGGGACUGAGACACGGCCCAGAUCCUACCGGAGGGAGGAGGUGGGAAAAAUUGAAAAAUGGGGGCAACCUGAACCCGCCCAGGCGGGGUAGGGAAAAACGGCUUAGGGUUGUAAAGCUCUUUUCUCCGGGACGAUAAUGACGGUACCGGAGGAAUAAGCCCCGGCUAACUUCGUG
rnacentral:rRNA from 1 species